GAUGAACGCUGGCGGCGUGCUUAAUACAUGCAAGUCGAACGGAAGAGGUAGCAAUACUAAAUUAGUGGCGAACGGGUGAGUAACGCGUUGGUGACCUGCCCCAGAUCGAGGGAUAACAGUUCGAAAGGACUGCUAAUACCGCAUGAAGUUACGGAAGUUAGGUGACCGUAAUGAAAGGAGCGAUCCGAUAUGGGAGGGGCCUGCGUCCCAUCAGCUAGUUGGUGAGGUAAAAGCCCACCAAGGCGACGACGGGUAGGGGGCCUGAGAGGGUGACCCCCCACACUGGCACUGAAACACGGGCCAGACACCGACGGGUGGCAGCAGUAGGGAAUAUUGGUCAAUGGGCGAAAGCCUGAACCAGCAACGCCGCGUGCACGAUGAAGGCCUUCGGGUCGUAAAGUGCUUUUCGGGGAGACGAGGAAGGACGGUAUCCCCGGAAUAAGGAUCGGCUAACUACGUGCCAGCCGCCGCAGUAACAC
rnacentral:rRNA from 1 species